rnacentral:rRNA from 1 species
UACGGAGGAUGCAAGCGUUAUCCGGAAUGAUUGGGCGUAAAGCGUCCGCAGGUGGCAAUGUAAGUCUGCUGUUAAAGAGUCUAGCUCAACUAGAUAAAAGCAGUGGAAACUACAUAGCUAGAGUACGUUCGGGGCAGAGGGAAUUCCUGGUGUAGCGGUGAAAUGCGUAGAGAUCAGGAAGAACACCGGUGGCGAAGGCGCUCUGCUAGGCCGUAACUGACGCUGAGGGACGAAAGCUAGGGGAGCGAAUGGG